AUUGUUUUUUGGUUCAUAAGCGUGAUGAUUGGGUGUUCACACGGUUGUGUGGCAUGUGCCGCCCUCAAACCUUGUUACACAUCAGCACAUCAUCCAUCUGACA